GACGAACGCUGGCGGCGUGCUUAACACAUUCAAGUAGAACAGUGGCGAACGGGUGAGUAAUGCUUGGGAAUCUAGCUUAUGGAGGGGGAUAACCACGGGAAACUGUAGCUAAUACCGCGUACCGUAGGAUGAGCCCAAGUGGGAUUAGGUAGUUGGUGAGGUAAAGGCUCACCAAGCCGACGAUCUCUAGCUGGUCUUAGAGGAUGACCAGCCACACGAGGACGGAGACACGGCACAGACUCCUACGGGAGGCAGCAGGGGUGAAUAUUGCGCAAUGGGGGCAACCUGGCGCGUCCAUGCCGAGUGAAUGAAGGAGGCCUUCGGGUUGUAAAGUUCUUUCGGUAGCGAGGCGUUAACUACAGAAGAAGCACCGGCUAACUCCGUGCCAGCCGCCGCGGUAAUAC
rnacentral:rRNA from 1 species